rnacentral:rRNA from 1 species
CCUACGGGUGGCAGCAGUGGGGAAUAUUGCACAAUGGGCGCAAGCCUGAUGCAGCCAUGCCGCGUGUGUGAAGAAGGCCUUCGGGUUGUAAAGCACUUUCAGCGGGGAGGAAGGCGGUGAGGUUAAUAACCUCAUCGAUUGACGUUACCCGCAGAAGAAGCACCGGCUAACUCCGUGCCAGCAGCCGCGGUAAUGACGGAGGGUGCAAGCGUUAAUCGGAAUUACUGGGCGUAAAGCGCACGCAGGCGGUCUGUCAAGUCGGAUGUGAAAUCCCCGGGCUCAACCGGGGAACUGCAUUCGAAACUGGCAGGCUAGAGUCUUGUAGAGGGGGGUAGAAUUCCAGGUGUAGCGGUGAAAUGCGUAGAGAUCUGGAGGAAUACCGGUGGCGAAGGCGGCCCCCUGGACAAAGACUGACGCUCAGGUGCGAAAGAGUGGGGAGCAAACAGGAUUAGAUACCCGUGUAGUC